rnacentral:SRP_RNA from 1 species
GCCAGGCGUGGUGGCAGGCGCCUGUCGUCCCAGCUACUCGGGAGGCUGAGGCAGGGGGAUCACUUGAGCCCAGGAGGUCAAGGCUGCAGUGACCCACGAUCAUGCCACUGCACUCCAGCCUGGGUGACAGAGUGAGACCCUGUCUCAG